rnacentral:rRNA from 1 species
UCCUACGGGAGGCAGCAGUGGGGAAUAUUGCACAAUGGGGGAAACCCUGAUGCAGCAACGCCGCGUGAAGGAAGAAGGUCUUCGGAUUGUAAACUUCUGUCUUUGGUGAAGAUAAUGACGGUAGCCAAAGAGGAAGCUCCGGCUAACUACGUGCCAGCAGCCGCGGUAAA